rnacentral:snoRNA from 1 species
CCCCUCCAGGUCCGGGUGGUGAUAAAAGGAGGAAAAGUAAAAUUGAAACUGACUCAAAUUCUUUUGUGACAUACAAGCUAGUUUCAAACACAA